UACGUAGGUGGCGAGCGUUGUCCGGAAUCACUGGGCGUAAAGGGCGCGUAGGCGGCCUGGUAAGUAGGGGGUGAAAUCUCAUGGCUCAACUGUGAGGCUGCCUUCUAGACUGCCGGGCUUGAGCAUGGUAGAGGCUGGUGGAAUUCCCGGUGUAGCGGUGGAAUGCGUAGAGAUCGGGAAGAACAUCCGUGGCGAAGGCGGCCAGCUGGGCCAUCUGCUGACGCUGAGGCGCGAAAGCGUGGGGAGCAAACAGG
rnacentral:rRNA from 1 species